CUACCGAGCUCUUUGGUGCAACUAGGCUGAAGAGCUUGGUAGUUUCAGGUAAUUCCUUAUACGGACCGCUUCCGUCCCAAGUCGGGAACCUUAAGAACCUACAAACCUUUGAUGUUUCACGGAAUUUAUUCAAUGGCUCCGUACCUUCGUCCAUAGUUCAAUGCAAGAAAUUAACUACACUUGUUCUCAGUCAAAAUUAUUUCAACGGCUCACUCCCCGAGGGAUUUGGAAACAGUUUGGUUAGCCUUCAGAAGCUCAAUCUUUCUUACAACAGAUUCGACGGUUCAAUCCCUGGUGACAUUGGAAACUUGUCGAAUUUGCACGGUACUCUCGAUCUGUCUCACAAUUUCUUCACUGGUGAGAUUCCAGCUAGCCUAGGAAGCCUCCCUGAGGAAGUGUAUAUCGAUCUCAGUUACAAUAAUCUUACCGGCCCAAUACCGCAGAAUGGUGCUUUAGGAAAUGCAGGGCCAACAGCUUUCAUAGGCAACCCUUCGCUUUGUGGAUUACCAUUGAAAAUUCCGUGUCAUUCAUCCAAUAAGCCAAUUCCAAUUAAGCCAUUUCAGAGAUCGAUAAAGCGUGGGGAAGGCGGUAGGGUGAUUAAAACCAUUGCAGGUGUGAUGUUAGGACUCUGCUUCAUUGGAUUCAUGUUCUCUUAUUGGUACAAGAAGGCCUAUGUCUGCAACGGAGUUCGGAAAGUCACCGGCUAUCGUUUCGAAGAGAAACUGAUGAUUGGUAGGGACAUAUUCUGCUUUGCGAGAAGAGACAAUGACACUCUCUCAGAAAACAUGGAGCAGUGCAACUUUGUUCCAUUAGACACCGAGGUAGACUUCGAUCUCGAACAACUUCUUAAAGCAUCUGCUUUUCUCCUGGGGAAGAGUUCAAGUGGGAUUCUAUAUAAAGUGGUGCUCGACAACGGACUAGCUGUGGCGGUGCGAAGACUUGGAGACGGAGGUGGACAAAGACUCAAGGAGUUUCAAACCGAAGUUGAAGCGAUUGGGAAAAUCAGGCAUCCGAACAUAGUUAAUCUUCGAGCUUAUUGUUGUUCGGAUGAUGAGAAGCUGCUCAUAUAUGAUUACAUAACCAAAGGAGAUCUUGCUGCUGCAAUUCAUGGUAACUUAUUAAAAUUCUGCAAAUAUUUUCCAUGUUGUUCUAGGAAUCUCCAUGAUAAUCUUUCUAACAUUUAAAUCUAAGCAGGGAAAUCCGGAAUUGUGAACUUUAAACCGCUUUUGUGGCCAGUUCGAGUAAAAAUCAUGAAAGGAAUAGCCAAGGGAUUAGCCUUCUUACACGAAUUCAGUCCGAAAAGGUACGUCCAUGGAAAUCUGAAGCCGAGCAACAUUCUUCUUGGAGAGGAUAUGGAGCCUCGUAUUUGCGAUUUCGGACUCAGUCGCCUCGCCAACAUAACUGAGGAAUCACCUGACUUUCAGGUGGAACAACAGAUGGCAAUUUGGACACCAGAACAAAGUUCUCCAUUCGAGUUAACACCAAUAAAUUCAUCUUCGAACGGAUCGUAUUACCGAGCACCGGAAGCCUUGAAUGACACGAAACCAUCACAGAAAUGGGAUGUGUACUCAUUUGGAGUGAUAUCACUGGAGAUGAUCUCUGGAAAGUUGCCAAGCAUUCAAGCAGGUUCUUCGGAGAUGGAUUUGGUUCAAUGGAUUCAACUCGGGAUGGAUGAAAGGAAGCCGCUGUCGUCCAUCAUUGAUCCCUCCUUAGCUCAUAGUUGGGUUGAGGAAGACAACAUAACCGCCAUACUCAAGCUUGCACUGGCCUGCAUCCAUAAGAGUCCAGAUAGGAGACCUUCAAUGAGGUUUGUGAGUUAUAGUCUCGAGAAAUUGACUUCAUAAUAAGUUGAUACAUCAAUUGGAUCAGAGAGAGAGCUGAACUGUAUUUUUUUCUUUUUUUUGACAUAUUUCGGACAAAUUCCCAUACAUGUAAAAUAUUCAUUUCAUUUCUCUUAGAAGGAUGGAUUCAUCACUUACUAUGAACAUUAGCAGAAUAAAUAUUUAUUUGUUACUAUGAACAUAAGCGGUUUUUUUGUAGUUAUGAAAUGCUGCGUUGCUUCGAGUAAGAUAUCUGAAAACUGAACUCAGCAACCCUACAACAGUUCAGCAUCACAGCAAAGUACAUUCUCUUAGAUUGACGGACAGUGUUCUAGUUCUACUCUACAUCCAAGCAGUACCAAAGCCAUGAAGCGUACAAACAACACACUAUGAUCAUGAACCACAAAUUAAUUAGGGAAUUCCCAAAGAUAUAAAGCUAAUCAUUGUUUCUUUUCAUUUGCAGCAUUAGUCCCUGAACAAUGGCUUAUAAGAUAAAAUGAUUCAUGUUUGAAAAUUCUAUGAAAUGGCCAAAUUGAGUGCUGGAUAAGUAUGCAAAAACUACAAAGCAGAGAAUGGAAACAAUAACUACCUAUGUUUAUCGACCUAUAUUCUGACUGAAAUCUUCUUCAAAUACGUGUGUCCAAUGCAUUGGUACAAAAACUUAAUCCUCCAAAAGAACCUCAAAAUACAUGAAAAAAGAAAUUGAACGAUGCUGUAUUCAAAGUUCAUGCCCAAGUGCAAAAAAAAUAAGUUUCAGCUAUUAUUAGGAAACAAGAAUAGCAGGUUAGAAGAAAAGUUAUACAACAAAAUCUAACUGGCUAAUAUGUAGGUUACUCCUAAACUUGUCUAAAAGUAUCUAGUCGGUAUCUGAAUUUUACCUAGUUGGUACUUGAAUUUGAACCACCUUAGUUUUUUAAGGGUUAAUAUAUAGUUUACCCCUUGAACUUAUCCAAAAAUACUAGUUAGUACUUGAACUUGUCCAAAAGAGUGUACUUUUUUAAAUUAAUUUAAAUGUUUUAGAAGAUUUUUAAUUUUUUAAUUUAUGUCCGCUAUGUGUCAUAUUGAAAAGUUGUCACGUGUCCCCAUUGAAUUGGCCAACUACACUACAUUAGCACAAAUUAAUAGCGUUAGUGCGGAAGUACCAAUCAGGACGAUAGAACACAAGUUUAGGUACCAACUAGGUAAAAAAAAAGUUCAAAUACCAAUUAUGUAUUUUUGACAAGUUUAGGCAGCAAACUACGUAAACUCAAAUUUAAAGUAAGCUACUACCUGUGGAACCGGUUUUGGUUACUUCAGAAGUCUGAAUGAGAACAUACUACUUUGCCUCAAAGGAUUUAAGUUUUAGCCACUAAACUAUGUUGCUCUAUUCACAUCAAACUACAUUGCUCAACUCAGAUGUGAGUGUUGCAUAUUGUUGGUGUACUAACAGAAAUAACAGACUCGACAAGUGUCUUGUGCAACAAGCCCCGAUGCUUGUUGAGCAAACAAAUGAAUUCGAGCAAAAGAAAAGGAAGGAAAAGUUAGAAAAAUGGAGAGUAUUUGAUGAACAAAACUUAAUUCAUUCAUUGAAUUAACAGUGGCAAAAUGCCAAUACAUAAAUCAAGCUCUAAGCUUGUCAAAAACAGUAAACAUUUACCUAAUGGUUACCUAACACCACUAAACAUUGAAACUUGAAGCAAUCAACUUGUGCAUACAAGCAAAGCUGAAUUAGCAGCUCAUAUGAUAGCAAAUUACAUCAAUCAUCUACCUAACAUAGUUCUAAAUGAACUAAAUUACAAUUCAUUGACUAGAAAUUACAAAAUGAGCAAAAUAAGCUUGCAUCAGCAGCUCCUGCAUGGCUUGGUCUUCAUGGCCUGCCUGCUGUCGAGUGUUUGCUUCAUACUGACCAACUUCAUCACUCCUCCUUGGUUAGUAUGGUGCAAACACCUAAUUUUCCUCUCAAAUGCUCGAACCUUGUGACAUUAAGACCUUUAGUUAGAAUGUCAGCAAGCUGAUCCUCUGAAUUGCAGUGAAUCAGCUUCAUCUCUUGUGCUUGCUCCAUUUUUCGAACAACAUGCAACUUAAUGCUGAAAUGCUUUGUUCUUCCAUGGAACACAGGAUUUUUAGCAAUUGCAAUAGCAGAUUGGUUGUCACAAAAGAUCUCUAUUGCUUCUCUUUGAUGCACAUUCAAAUCGGUCAAGAUUUUUCUUAGCCAAAUGGCUUGGUUGACAGCACUUGCUGCUGCCACAUACUCCACUUCAGCAGUAGAUUGAGCCACAGGCUUUGCUUCUUCGAGCUCCAGCAGAACAUGGCUGAACCAAGGUUAAAAGCAUACCCUGAGGUGCUUUUCAUAUCAUCUAUCGAGCCAGCCCAGUCACUAUCAGUAUAGCCAAUCAGCUUCAAAUUUUCUACCUUGCUAUACCUCAAACCAUAGCUUAAAGUGCCUUUGAUAUAUCUGAGCACUCUUUUUGCAGCCUGAAAAUGCUUCUCAUUGCAGCAAUGCAAGAAUCUUGAGAGCAAUCCUACAGCUUACAUUAUGUCUGGCCUAGUAGCAGUUAAGUAUAGCAAACAACCAACUAGACUUUUGUAGGUAGUUUCACAAACUCUCUCAAAUUCACCUUGGCUCGAUAGUUUCUCUCCAACAGCAACAGGAGUUUUAGUUGCCUUGCAGUUCUGCAUAGAGAACUUGGUCAGAAUCUUUGUGGCAAAGCCUUUCUGACUUAGGAAUAUCCCAUUUUGUGUUUGUGACACCUCCAUUCCAAGAAAAUAGGACAUCUCCCCUAGAUCAGACAUUUCAAACACCUCAUGCAUCUUGGUCUUGAAAUUGAUCAGCAUUGUUUGAUCUCCUCCUGUCACCAGCAGGUUAUCAACAUACAGAGACACAAUGAGCUGUGUUUGUGCCCCUUCCAUCUUGACAUACAGUGUUGGUUCACUCUUGCUUCGAUCAAAUCCCAAAUCAGUCAAGUAGCCAUCGAUUCUGGAGUACCAGCCCUUGGAGCCUGUUUUAAGCCAUAUAGAGCCUUCUUUAGUUUAUAGACCAUGUGCUCUUUGCCAGCUAUCUCAAACCCUUGUGGUUGAUCAACAUAAAUAUCUUCAUCUAAGAAGCCAUUCAGAAAAGCUGACUUCACAUCUAGUUGAUGGAUCUUCCAUUUGAGCUGUGCUGCUAAGGCAAUCAGCAGUCUGAUGGUGUCAAGCCUGGCCACUGGUGCAAAGGUCUCCAAGUAGUCCAGGCCAUAUUUCUGACUGAACCCCUUGACAACUAGCCUUGCUUUCAGUUUGUUCAAGGUUCCAUCAGCAUUUUGCUUGGCUUUGUACACCUAUUUCACCCCAAUUACCUUCCUUUUGACGGCCUUUCAACCAAUUCCCAGGUCUGGUUCUUCUCAAUCAUGCUGAUCUCCUUAGCCAUUGUCUGCUUCCACCCUUGCUAAGCUUCAACCUCCUCAAAGUUGCUUGGUUUAGCUAUGGCUACAUGAGCCCUUUCAUAAAUCUCAGUUAAUGGUCUUGUUCCCCUGACUGGUUCAUCAUCAAUGUCCAUUUCAGGACCAUUUUGGUCUGGCUCAGCUUGAUCUGCUACAAGUUCUUCUGAAACUUCCUCAGGUUCAUGUCUCUCCCAGUUCCAACAUGACCUUUCAUCAAAUACCAUAUCCCUGUUGACUGAAACUUUGUUUGUUGAAGGAUCCAAGAUCCUAUAGCCCUUCUUGACAAUGUUGUAGCCUACCAGAAUACCAGGUCGAGCCCUUUUAGACAAUUUGUCCCUUUUAACAGCAAGUACAUGUGCAUAACAGAUGCAUCCAAAGACCUUCAGAUGAGCCAGUGAUGGCUUGAAUCCAAACCAGGCCUCGAAUGGAGUCUUCUGGUCCAAAGCCUUGGUUGGAAGCCUAUUUUGGAUGUAUGUUGCACUGUUAACUCCUUCUACCCAUAAAGCUUUAGGCAGAUUCUUCUGAAUCAUCAAGCACCUAGCCAUAUCCAUCAAGCUCAUGUUCUUUCUUUCACUUACACCAUUUUGCUGGGGUGUAUAAGUGUUAGUAAGCUGAUGUUUAAUGCCUGCCUUAUCACAAAAGGCUUGGAACUGAGCUGAUGUGUACUCAGUCCCAUUAUCAGACCUUAUGGUCUUCAGCUUGCAGCCUGUUUCAGUCUCAGUAGCAGUCUUGAACUUCCAAAACACAGAGGCCACCUCUGAUUUCUGUUUCAAGAAGUAAAGCCAGCAAUAUCUCGAGAAAUCAUCAAUAAACAAUAUGAAAUACCUGUUUCCACUUAAUGACUCAGUCUUUAUGGGACCACACACAUCAGUGUGCACCAAUUGGAGUUUUUCAGAGGCUCUCCAAGCUUGAAUCGAGGGAAAUGAGAGUCUGGCCUGUUUUCCUAGUUGACAUACUUCACAUACAUCAACAUGCUCCACUGAAUUGAUGAAGUUUUCAGCUAAGCUCUCUCUGACCAUUCGAGCCAUUGAUCUAAAGUUGGCAUGACCAAGUCUUUGAUGCGAAAGCUUGGAUUCAUCUGGUGUAGCUGUGUAGGCAAUGUCUGACUCCUUUGUCCAAUCAACCACAAAGCUUUUAUCAGCCAUAGGGACUGCCAUUAGCUUGGAUCCACUUGGAUCACUAAUUUGGCACUGAUUGUCCUUGAACACCACAGAAUAACCUUUCGCCAGCAAUUGAGCUAUGCUGAGCAGGUUUCUGUCAAUUUCAAGCACUAGGAGCACAUUUGAAAUCACUUUGGCACCUGUGGGAGUGAAUAUCAGCACAUCACCCAUUCCUUCAGCUUGAAUAAAGUGGUCAUUACCAAUUUUGACUUUGGUUCUACAGCUUCUGUCUAAAGACUUGAAGAUUGCAGCAUUAGGUGUCAUAUGAUUGGUGCAUCCACUGUCUAGGAGCCAACCAGAUAAGGGCCUUUCUUGAACAACUGAUCAUGACACAGCAAACACCUGCUCCUCUUGGUCAUUGUCCUCCUUAGCCACUCGAGCCACAGUUUUCAUCUGUAGAAACUGAUUCUGCCUUGACUUGGCCUUGUAAAAGCCCGAUUCUGGGCCUAGUCGGAACAAUGGUUUUGGGACCACAAAUCCGACGAAGGAAAAUAUGAUUGUUAUUAUAUUUUUAUGGUCUACAAUUUUACAAAAAAAUUUCGUAAAAAUUUCGUUCGAAAAUUUCGACGUUUGGCCACUCAAUUUAGUCAAAAGGACUAAAUUGUAAAAAAUGUAAAAGUUGAGUUCUACAUGUUAGAAGUGUCUAAUUGUUAUGAAAUUUUAAAUUGGAGGUCUUUAUGUGGUAAUUAGACCAUUAGUUAGUUGAUGGAAAAAAAUGGGCAUAGAAUUAGUGAAAUAGAUUUUUUUAAGUAAGAGCAUUUUAGUCAUUUGGUAAUUAAAUAGAAUUAUGGGAAAAAGAUGGCAAAAUAUGCUCAUCUUCUUCAUGGUGAACGAAAUCAGCAAGGGGGGAAGUCAUAUUUAGGGUUUUUAAGCUUCCAAGCUCCAUAAUAAGUGAUUCCAAGCCCCGUUUUUAAUGUUCUUUACGUUUUUUGAGUCCUGGUAACUUGGUUUAGCUUAUUUUACCAUUAAUUCGUGUUAGGGUUUAUAUUUGGAAAAAUACCAAUAGGUGAAAUGUGUUUAUUUUGCUGUUUAAUGGUGAAAUAUGAAUCUAGAAAUUAUGUUAAACAAUUUUUGCUAAGCGAUUUUAAACGAAAACGGGUAAAUUGACAUAAUCGGUAAAAAUACCUAAUGUUCAAAAGUGUGUGUUAGAGUGAGAAUUUGAUGUUGUCAUAGAAGGGAAAAAUGUUCAGCAUGUCAUAAAACAUAAUAAUAAGAGAUGAAUUUUAAUUUUCGAGCUUAGGGACAAAAGUGUAAAUAUGUAAAAGUUUGGGGGCAAAAUUAUAAUUUUUCAAAAAGUUGGGUGGAGGACUAUUUUAUUAAAUGUGAACAUUAAAUGAGUUAAAUUUGCUAUUAUAGAUCAAGAAAGACGAGAAGACUACCUCAAACGGGGAAAAGAGAAGAUAGUGGAGUAAAUUACAAAAUUACGAUAUUUUGCACCGAGGUAAGUAAACAUUAUUUAAUGUAUUAUUUUGAUAUUAUUCAAUAUAUGUUGGGAUUUAAUAGAAUAUAGAGUAAAUAUUCGGCAAGAUCCUAAAAAUGUGGUUAAGUUGGGAAAGGUGGUAAAAUGUUGAAACUAUGGGUUCCAGUUGAACACUCGGAAUAAGCCGAAGUAUUUUAAAUGUGAAGGUGGUUGCUAAGUGCUGAUUCCCCGACUCAUUGGUGGUUGCUAAGUGCUGAUUCCACCGUAUCUUGAAUAUAAAGAAGGUUGCUAAGUGCUGAUUCCCACAAGGGGUUGUUAAGUGCUGAUUCCCCGAUUCAUUGGUGGUUGCUAAGUGCUGAUUCCACCGUAUUUUAAAUGUGAAGGGGGUUGCUAAGUGCUGAUUCCCCCAAGGGGUUGCUAUGUGCUGAUUUCCCAAAUCAUUGGUGGUUGCUAAGUGCUGAUUCCACCAUAUCUUUGAAUGUGAAAGGGGUUGCUAAGUGCUGAUUCCCCGAAUCACUGGUGGUUGCUAAGUGCUCAAUCCACCGAUAACGGUUAAUAUUCCGAGUGUUCAACGAGUAAAUUGGGAAGGUGAAAAUUUAUAUGUGGUGGACAAGCUUAUAGGAGGAAUAUUGGGUUUGAUACUUAAUCGACCCAUGUAUAAGGUGGGAUGAAAUAUCAAAAAUACAAAAGAAACAAAUUAAAUACAAAAUUGUUUUGAACAACAGUAGUUGGAAAACUUUGAAAAAUCACCAUAAAUGGUGGAAAAUGAAUUAGAGGUUGAAUAAUAUAUUAAAUUGAAGCUGAAUGAGUCUAUUUUCAUACAAAAGAAACAGAGCAAGCAAAAGAAUUUUAUAUUUGGGGAUAUUUGAAUUUAUUUGAGACAGGGUUGGAUUAAUUUGAAAUCCCCUGUUCCAACUUUGGAAAAUCACUAAAAAUUGUACAAAAAUAAUUAUGGCCUAAAAUUUAUAUGCCUAGAUUCUUUAAUGAGUAUAUUUUUAAUAGAAAUAAAUGAGAACAUUUUUUGAAUUUUGUACAGGGAGUUAAUUAAAUUUUAGUAAAGGGAGGUCAGAACCGUCGGGCAAUGAAAUAGGGGAAUGUUUAAAGAAUAAAAUGUACUAAUUGGCUAAGCCAAAAAAAUCUGAAAAUUUUAUGGUGGAAAGGUAUAUGAGUCCAGUUUCAGGGAAAAUUUAUGGAAUCCAAUUUGGAGCCCUGUAGCUCCAAAUAAAAAUAAAUUAGUGACCAUGACUCAGAAAAACAGCUUGGUGGAAAUUGAACAAUUGAUGAAAUUUAAGUGUGAUUAAAAUUAUGUUACUAUGUAAUCAUGUGAGGAAAUUAUUUAUUUGUCAUAUGUUUACUUACUGAGCUAUAUGCUUACUCGUUUUUAUUUUCCCUUGAUUAUAGUGACAUCAAUCAGUUCGGAACUUGGACGACGUCAGAUAAUCAUCCACACUAUCAUCGACUUUUUGGGUAUUUUGCAACUAAUACUUUGGAGACAUGGCAUGCAUAGAUGACUUUAUGUAUUGCGGUUUAAAUAUGUAUAUAUGUAGUAUGGUUCGGUUUAAAAUGUUGGUGUUUGUUAAUGGAUAAAUUGUGUUUGAACAUACAACUGUAUUUGGUUGGAAUAUUGAAUAUGUUUGGAAUUGUGUUUGAACAUUUACAGGGGGUUUUAUGUAAAAAUAAGCAGAAAUGCUGCUCAAAUUUUAUAAAAAAAAUUUAGUAAUACCUCAUACUCAGUUCCGUUAAGGAAUAUGGGUAAGGGGUGUUACAUUUUAGUGGUAUCAGAGCUACGGUUUAGUCGGUUCUCGGACCAAUAAAAUAUGUGUGAAAGUCAAUCUAUACAUGCCAUAAAUAUAUUGAGAUAGUGUAAUGAUUUCUGACAAUUUAAAAUUUUGUUUUAUAUAGUAAAUGGAUCCUGAUCGAAGUGUGGCAGAUGAUGUUGAAAGUAACACGCCGGCUCCCGCACAAGGGACAGCGCAUGAAGAAAGUAGACAUGAGACGCAUAGUCAGGUUGAGGCUCAGGAAGCCUUUCUUCGAAUGAUGAGUAAUUGGUAUACAGAAUUUGUCCGUGUAAAUCCGAAUGUUCAACCUCCUUCACCCCCUCCUAUUCCUCAACCAGUCCCCUUAGCUCCACAAAGUGUUGAAUUGGUAAAAUCGAGUAAACCACCCGUUGACAAAAUUUGAAAGCAUAGGGCUGAAGAUUUCAGGGCUAAUGUUGAUGAUGAUCCAGAAAAAGUAGAGUUUUGACUGGAAAAUACUAUUCGGGUAUUUGAUGAACUAUCUUGUACUUCUGAUGAAUGUUUGAAAUGUGUUGUGUCUUUACUGAAGGAUUCAGCAUACCGUUGAUGGAAAACAUUAAUAUCAGUGGUUCCGAAAGAAAGAGUUAUUUGGGACUUCUUCCAGGAGGAAUUCAAAAAGAAAUAUAUAAGCCAACGGUUUAUUGAUCAGAAACGCAAAGAGUUUCUUGAGUUGAAGCAGGGCCGGAUGUCUGUGGCAGAAUAUGAAAGGGAGUUUGUCAGGCUCAGCAAAUAUGCCCAGAAAUGUCUACCCACGGAGGCCAUUAUGUGUAAAAGAUUUGAGGAGGGGUUAAAUGAAGAUAUCAGAUUGUACGUUGGGGUUUUAGAGCUAAAAGAAUUUGUAGUACUGGUUGAUCGAGCCUGUAAAGCUGAAGAACUGAGUAAAGAAAAGAGAAGAGCGGAGAUUGAAGCUCGAGAUGUAAGAAAAAGGUCAAUGAGCAGGACAUUUCAAUCCCAACCAAACAAGCUUAAAGGGAUGGAUCCGCGAUCGACUGGUUCAGUUGGGUAUUCACGUAGAGAUCGAGGGAAAUCAUACCCCGGAGCUAAAACUCAAACUACCUCGAUGGCAAGUGUGGGCAAUGUGGGGAAUAUUAAACCUGAGUGUCAACAGUGUGGUAGGCGACAUGCUGAAGAGUGUUAGGGAUUUAGACGAGCCUGUUUCGGGUGUGGUUCUCAAGAACAUUAUAUAAAAGAUUGCCCUGAGAGAAUAGAAGAAAAAGGAUUGCAGAGAGCUAGAUCGGGUGAUAUUGUUAGUAGAGGUAAACCACCCAGGAAUGUUGAGAGCAAAGUCAGCGGUAAAAGUGUGGCGAAAGAUAUAGUUGGGAGAUAAGUAACUAGAGCGCCUGCCAGAACUUAUGCCAUACGUGCUCGUGAGGAUGCAUCAUCUCCUGACGUAAUUACUGGUACAUUUUCUCUUCAUGAUAUUGAUGUUGUUGCUUUGAUUGACCCUAGGUCUACUCAUUUAUAUGUAUGUGUGAAUUUAGUAUCCAGUAAGAAAUUGCCUGUUGAAAAUACUGAAUUUGUGGUUAAAGUAUCAAAUCCUUUAGGCAAAUAUGUCUUAAUCGAUAAGGUUUGCAAGAAUUGUUCAUUGAUGAUUCACGGUCACUGUUUCCCGGCUAAUUUGAUGUUGUUACCAUUUGAUGAGUUUGAUGUUAUUUUAGGGAUGGAUUGGUUGAUAUUGCAUGACGCCAAGGUAAAUUGUAGACGAAAAAUUCUUGAAUUGAGAAAAUGGUGAAAUUCUCCGGGUUGAAGCGGAAGAGCCGAAUAAAUUGCCUAUGGUGAUUUCGCACAUGUCUGCUCAGAAAUACUUGAGAAAAGGAUGUGAAGCUUAUCUUGCUUAUGUGUUGAAUACUGAUAUAACUGGGUCAAAGCUUGAAUCAGUGCCGGUAGUUUGUAAAUUUCCAGAUGUAUUUCCAGAGGAAUUGCCUGGGUUACCUCCGAUUAGAGAAGUUGAGUUUGCUAUUGACUUGUUACCAGGUACUGCAACCAAUUUCUAUUACUCCGUAUCGGAUGGCUCCGACUGAAUUGAAAGAAUUAAAAGCUCAGUUACAGGAGUUGACAGAUAAAGGAUUUGUGAGACCGAGUUUUUCUUCUUGGGUGCUCUUGUAUUAUUUGUGAAAAAGAAAGAUGGAUCUAUGAGACUUUGCAUUGAUUAUCGUCAACUCAACAAAGUGACUAUAAAGAACAAGUACCCUCUACCAAGAAUGGAUGAUUUGUUCGACCAACUAAAAGGAGCAACAGUGUUUUCAAAAAUUGAUCUGAGGCCGGGUUACUAUCAAUUGAGAGUUAGGGAGUCCGAUGUGCCAAAGACCGCUUUCAGAAUGAGGUAUGGCCAUUAUGAAUUUCUGGUAAUGCCUUUUGGGUUGACUAAUGCUCCGGCUAUUUUUAUGGAUUUAAUGAAUCGAAUUUUUCGGUCGUAUCUAGAUAAGUUUCUGGUGGUGUUCAUAGAUGAUAUUUUAAUUUAUUCUCGGGAUGAAUCCGAGCAUGCCGAACAUUUGAGAAUUGUGUUGCAGAUUCUGAGAGAGAAGAAAUUAUAUGCUAAAUUUAGUAAAAGUGAGUUUUGGCUUCGUGAGGUUGGAUUCUUGGGGCAUAUAGUUUCAAGUGAAGGUAUUCGGGUUGAUCCAAACAAAAUUUUCGCAAUUGUUGAUUGGGAGCCACCAAAGAAUGUGAUCGAGGUUAGAAGCUUUCUAGGCUUAGCCGGAUAUUACAGACAUUUUUCAAGGGAUUCUCGAUGAUUGCCUCUCCUAUGACUAAGUUAUUGCAAAAGAAUGUCAAGUUUGAAUGGACCGAUAAAUGUCAACAAAGUUUCGAGAAAUUGAAGGCUUUAUUGACUGAGGCACCAGUGUUGGUACAACCUGAGUCAGGGAAGGAGUUUAUAAUUUACAGUGAUGCAUCGUUGAAUGGUCUUGGUUGUGUGUUAAUGCAAUAGGGCAAAGUAAUAGCUUAUGCUUCGAGACAGCUGAAACCGCACGAGAAGAAUUAUCCGACGCAUGAUUUAAAAUUGGCGGCCAUUGUUUUUGCUUUAAAAAUUUGGCGUCAUUAUCUGUAUGGUGAGAAAUGCCAAAUCUUCAUUGAUCAUAAGAGUUUGAAGUAUUUAAUGAAUCAAAAAGACUUGAAUUUGCGACAACGAAGAUGGCUCGAGCUAAUAAAAGAUUAUGAGCUAGUGAUUGAUUAUCAUCCUGGAAAAGCUAAUGUUGUUGCUGAUGCCUUAAGCAGAAAUCUUUAUUUGCUUUUAGAGCUAUGAGUACGAGAUUAACUUUAUCUGAUGAUGGUUCAAUUUUGGUUGAAUUGAGGGCUAGACCGUUAUUCCUUCAGCAAAUCCGGGAAGCUCAAAAGAACGACAGUGAGUUGCAAGCCAGGAGAGCUCAGUGCGAAGCAGGUGUUGACUCAGAUUUUCGAAUUAGCUCAUAUGAUUGUCUGAUGUUCCGGGAUAGGGUAUGUGUACCGAGAAGUGAUGAGUUAAUUUAGACCAUUUUAUAUGAGCCACAUAGUGGUGAUUUUUCAAUUCAUCCAGGUAGUGUGAAAAUGUAUAAUGAUUUGAAGAAAAUGUAUUGGUGGCCGGGAAUGAAAAAGGAUAUCUCGGAAUUUGUACCAAAGUGUUUAAUUUGUCAACAAGUGAAAGCUGAGCAUCAAGUACCAUCGGGUUUACUUCAGCCGGUAAUGAUUCCAGAGUGGAAGUGGGACAGUAUCACGAUGGAUUUUGUGACAGGAUUGCCUUUAACUCCAAAAAAGAAGGAUGUUAUUUGGGUAAUUGUUGAUAGACUGACAAAGUUAGCCCAUUUCAUUCCGGUACGCAUCGAUUACUCACUUGACAGGUUGGCGGAGUUAUAUAUUGCUGAAAUAAGGAGACUACACGGGGUGCCUAAGUCUAUUAUAUCGGAUAGAGAUCUGAGGUUCACAUCGAGGUUUUGGAUAAAGUUGCAGGAAGCUUUGGGUACAAAAUUGAACUUUAGUACUAUGUUCCAUCCACAAACUGACGGGCAAUCAGAAAGAGUGAUUCAAGUUCUUGAAGACAUGCUCCGGUGUUGUAUUUUAGAAUUUGAAGGCAGUUGGGAGCAAUAUCUACCAUUGGUUGAAUUUGCUUACAAAAAUAGCUAUUAGUCAAGUAUACGAAUGGCACAGUAUGAAGCAUUAUAUGGGCGUAAGUGUAGAACUCCUUUAUAUUAGACUGAGCUUGGUGAGAACCGAACUCAUGGAGUUGAUUUAGUGAAGGAAACUGAAGAAAAAGUAAAGAUAAUCCGUGGCUGCUUAAAGGCUGCUUCAGAUCGACAAAAGUCAUAUGCAGAUUUAAAGAGAAAAGAAUUGAGUUCAGGUGGGUGAUAGAGUAUUUCUGAAGGUAUCUCUAUGGAAGAAGAUUUUGAGGUUUGGCCAUAAAGGCAAUUAAGUCCACGUUUAUUGGACCGUAUGAAGUUAUUGAAAGAAUUGGACCUGUAGCUUAUUAGUUAGCUUUACCAGCAGAGUUGGAAAGGAUACAUAAUGUAUUUCAUGUAUCAAUGUUGCGACGCUAUCGUUCGGAUCCUUCACAUAUAGUUUCUCCUGCAAAGAUUGAAGUUCGACCGGAUAUGACUUAUGAGGAGGAACCGAUAAAAAUUCUGGCUCGAGAGGUCAAGCAAUUAAGGAAUAAGCGUGUGGCCUUAGUAAAAGUGUUGUGGCAAAAACAUGGAGCGGAAGAAGUUACGUGGCAACCGAAGGAAGUUAUAAGGAAACAGUACCCAACCUCUUUUCCGGUAAGAUUUCGGGGACGAAAAUCCCUAAAGGGGGGAGAAUUGUAACAGCUCGAUUUUGGGCCUAGUCGAAACAGUGGUUUCUGGACCACAAAUCUGACGAAGGAAAAUAUGAUUAUUAUUAUAUUUUUAUGGUCCACAAUUUUACAGAAAAAUUUCGUAAAAAUUUCGUUCGAAAAUUUCGAUGUUUGGGCACUCAAUUUAGUCAAAAUGACUAAAUUGUAAAAAAUGCAAAAGUUGAGUUCUACAUGUUAGAAGUGUCUAAUUGUUAUGAAAUUUUAAAUUGGAGGUCUUUAUUGGUAAUAGACCAUUAGUUAGUUGAUGGAAAAAAAUGGGCAUAAAAUUAGUGAAAUAGAUUUUUUUAAGUAAUGGCAUUUUAGUCAUUUGGUAAUUAAAUAGAAUUAAAUGGGAAAAAGAUGGCAAAAUAUGCUCAUCUUCUUCAUGGUGAACGAAAUCAGCAAGGGGGAAGCAUAUUAUAGGGUUUUUAAGCUUCCAAGCUCCAUAGUAAGUGAUUCCAAGCCCCGUUUUUAAUGAUCUUUUACGUUUUUGAGUCCUGCGUAACUUGGUUUAGCUUAUUUUACCAUUAAUUCGUGUUAGGGUUUAUAUUUGUAAAAAUACUCAUAGGUGAAAUAUGUUUAUUUUUCUGUGUAAUGGUAGAAUAUGAAGCUAGAAAUUAUGUUAAACAAUUUUUGCUAAGCGAUUUUAAACGAACAUAGGUAAUUGGACAUAAUCGGUAAAAAUACCUAAUGUUAAAAGUGUGUGUUAGAAUGAGAAUUUGAUGUUGUCAUAGAAGGGAAAAAUGUUCAGCAUGUCAUAAAACAUAAGAAUAAGAGAUGAAUUUAAUUUUCGAGCUUAGGGACAAAAGUGUAAAUAUGUAAAAGUUUGAGGGGCAAAAGUAUAAUUUUUCAAAAGUUGGGUGGAGGAACUAUUUUAUUAAAUGUGAACAGUAAAUGAGUUAAAUUUGCUAUUAUAGAUCAAGAAAGACGAGAAGACUACCUCAAACGGGGAAAAGAGAAUAUAGUGGAGUAAAUAUACAAAAUUACGAUAUUUUGCACCGAGGUAAGUAAACAUGUGGAUUAAAUGUAUUAUUUUUGGUAUCAUUCAAUAUAUGUUGGGAUUUAAUAGAACAUAGAGUAAUAUUCGGUAAGAUCCAACAAUGUGGUUAAGUUGGGAAAGGUGGUACACUGUAGGAACUAUGGUUCCGGUUGAAACCCUCGCAUAAAGCCGCAGUUAUUUUAACACUUUAGCAGGGGGUUGCUACGUGCUGCUUCCCACAAGGGGUUGCUAAGUGCUGAUUCCCCCAUUCAUUGGUUGUUGCUAAGUGCUGAGUCCACCGUCUUUUUCACUGUGGAAGGGGUUGCUUAAGUGCUGAUUCCCCCAAUGGGUUGCUAUGUGCUGAUUCCCCAAAUCAUUAGUGGUUGCUAAGUGCUGAUUCCACCAUAUCUUUGAAUGUGAAAGAGGUUGCUAAGUGUUGAUUCCCCGAAUCACUGGUGGUUGCUAAGUGCUGAAUCCACCGAUAACGGUUAAUAUUUCGAGUGUUCAACGAGUAAAUUGGGAAGGUGAAUAUUUAUAUGUGGUGGACAAGCUUAUAGGAGGAAUAUUGGGUUUGAUACUUAAUCGACCCAUGUAUAAGGUGGGAUGAAAUAUCAAAAAUACAAAAGAAACAAAUUCAAUACAAAACUGUUUUGAACAACAGCAGUUGGGAAACAUUGAAAAAUCACCAUAAAUGGUGGAAAAUGAAUUAGAGGUUGAAUAAUAUAUGAAAUUGAAGCUGAAUGAGUCUGUUUUCAUACGAAAGAAACAGAGCAAGCAAAAGAAUUGUAUAUUUUGGGAUAUUUGAAUUUAUUUGAGAUAGGGUUGGAUUGAUUCGAAAUCCCCUGUUCCAACUUUGGAAAAUCACUAAAAAUUGUACAAAAAUAAUUAUGGCCUAAAAUUUAUAUGCCUAGAUUCUUUAGUGAGUAUAUUUUUAAUAUAAACAAAUGAAAACAUUUUUUGAAUUUUGUACAGGGAGUUAAUUAAAUUUUAGCAAAGGGAGGUCAGAACCGUCGGGCAGUGAAACAGGGGAACUUUAAAGAAUAAACUGUACUAAUUGGCUAAGCCAAAAAAAUUCUGAAAAUUUUAUGGUGAAAGGUAUAUGAGUUUAGUUUCGGGGAAAAUUUACGGAAUCCAAUUUGGAGCCCUGUAGCUCUAGAUGAAAAUAAAUUAGUGACCAUGACUCAGAAAAAUAGCUUGCUGGAAAUUGAAAAAUUGAUGAAAUUUAAGUGUGAUUAAAAUUAUGUUACUAUGUAAUCAUGUGAGGAAAUUAUUUAUUUGUCAUAAGUUUACUUACUAAGCUAUAUGCUUACUCGUUUUUAUUUUCCCUUGAUUAUAGUGACAUCAAUCAGUUUGGAACUUGGACGACGUCAGAUAAUCAUCCACACUAUCAUCAACUUUUUGGGUAUUUUGCAACUAAUACUUUGGAAACAUGGCAUGUAUAGAUGACUUUAUGUAUUGCGGUUUAAAUGUAUAUAUAUAUAGGGUUCGGUUUAAAAUGUUGGUGUUUGUUAAUGGAUAAUUGUGUUUGAACAUACAACUGUAUUUGGUUGGAAUAUUGAAUAUGUUGGAAUUGUGUUUGAAAAUUUGCAGGGGGUUUUAUGUAAAAAUAAGCAGAAAUGCUGCCGAAAUUUUAUAAAAAAAAAAUUAUUAAUAAUACUCAUACUCAGUUCCGUUAAGGAAUACAGGUAAGGGGUAUUACAGGCCUUGCUCUUGCAGACUCUCAACAUGACCCUUCUUUUUACAAUGCUGACAUACAUCGAGAUUGAACCAACAUUUUUCUUCUGGAUGACCAGGCCUCUUGCAAUGCCUUCAAGGUUGGUCAUUGCUCCUUGCAGCAUCAGGCUUAGGCCUAAUUUUCCAGGUCUUCUUGCCUUUAUAGGCAGUAUUUUUUUUUUGCCUGAAAGGCACCUUCCUGGUGCUCCUCCAAUCUGCUAGCUCUUCUCUGCUCUUGUGCAUAAAGGGCAUUGAUAAGCUCUGUCAAGGGAAUGCUGGUCAAGUCCCUUGAGUCUUCGAGAGAUGAAAUUUUUGCCUCAUACCUCUCUGGUAAUGUUGAAAUCACCUUCUCCACUAUCCUAGCUUCACUGAACUGCUCACCAAGGAGCCUUAUGCUGUUUUACACAGCCAUAAUCCUGUCAGAAUAUUGCUUGACAGUUUUCUUCUUUCUUCAUCUUCAAGUUCUCGAAUUCUCUCCUCAAAUUUAACAACUGUUGUUGCCUUGUCCUCUUUGUCCCUUGAAACUCCUCUUUCAAUUUAUCCCAGGCCUGCUUUGGUGUUUCACAGGCCAUAAUCCUUGUGAAAAUCACAUCUGACACUGAGUUCUAUAUGCAGGACAUGGCCUUGUGCCUCUUGGUCCUCUCAUCAGCAUGCUGCCUGAUUUGAGCCACUGUUGGAUUGGCUCUAAGUGGCUCUGGUUCAACAUCAGAGUUGACCACCUCCCACAGAUCGAAAGCCUGCAGGUAGAUCUUCAUUUUGACCACCCAUAUGUGAUAGCCUUCCCCAUUGAAGACUUGUGGUGCAGUUGGUGAAAAGUUUGAUGAAGCCAUUCUUUGAAUACCAGGCCCCUUAAGAAAUAGGCUCUAGAUACCAAUUGUUGGUGUACUAACAGAAAUAACAGACUCGGCAAGUGUCUUGUGCAACAGCCUCGAUGCUUGCUGAGCAAACAAAUGAAUUCGAGCAAAAGAAAAGGAAGGAAAAGUUAGAAAAAUGGAGAGUAUUUGAUGAGCAAAACUUAAUUCAUUCAUUGAAUUAACAGUGGCAAAAUGCCAAUACAUAAAUCAAGCUCUAAGCUUGUCAAAAACAGUAAACAUUUACCUAAUGGUUACCUAACACCACUAAACAUUGAAACUUGAAGCAAUCAACUUGUGCAUACAAGCAAAGCUGAAUUAAACAGCUCAUAUGAUAGCAAAUUACAUCAAUCAUCUACCUAACAUAGUUCUAAUAAAUGAACUAAAUUACAUUUCAUUGACUAGAAAUUACAAAAUGAGCAAAAUAAGCUUGCAUCAGCAGCUCCUGCAUGACUUGGUUUCAUGGCCUGCUCGUUGUCGAGUGUUUACUUCAUACUGACCAAACUUCAUCACAUAUGAUCGUGUCAGGCUCACGUAUGGUAAGAUUUUAUAAGUUCUUUUAUGUAUUUAAAAAAAUAUUAAAAAUUAUAUUCUCUUAUUCAUAUAUCUAACAUGAGUAUCCAAUACGAAUAGUUCGAAAAAAGUUAAAAGAAAGAAAUUAAGAGUACAUAAGUUGAGAAGGACCACCUCAUGGAGAGGUCAAGAGGUUGUAAGAGGUGNNNNNNNNNNNNNNNNNNNNNNNNNNNNNNNNNNNNNNNNNNNNNNNNNNNNNNNNNNNNNNNNNNNNNNNNNNNNNNNNNNNNNNNNNNNNNNNNNNNNNNNNNNNNNNNNNNNNNNNNNNNNNNNNNNNNNNNNNNNNNNNNNNNNNNNNNNNNNNNNNNNNNNNNNNNNNNNNNNNNNNNNNNNNNNNNNNNNNNNNNNNNNNNNNNNNNNNNNNNNNNNNNNNNNNNNNNNNNNNNNNNNNNNNNNNNNNNNNNNNNNNNNNNNNNNNNNNNNNNNNNNNNNNNNNNNNNNNNNNNNNNNNNNNNNNNNNNNNNNNNNNNNNNNNNNNNNNNNNNNNNNNNNNNNNNNNNNNNNNNNNNNNNNNNNNNNNNNNNNNNNNNNNNNNNNNNNNNNNNNNNNNNNNNNNNNNNNNNNNNNNNNNNNNNNNNNNNNNNNNNNNNNNNNNNNNNNNNNNNNNNNNNNNNNNNNNNNNNNNNNNNNNNNNNNNNNNNNNNNNCCCAUUCCCUUAACCUUCUAACCAACCCCCACGACCACCUUAUUUAUAUUACCUAUAACAUUCUUGCCCUCUCGAAACUAUAUUGUUUCACAGAUUCUUCAAACGAGCUCUACACUUUAAUGACUAAAAUGAUCAUCAUACAAAACUUACCUUCAACUUUACCCAAGCCAGUUUGGUUCCAUGCUCCCUUUUCUCUUCGGUUCAUCCAUGCUCGGCUUCUAAUUAAACUUUCUUGGGAAUAUCCAGAAGCUUUAGAUCAAUUUUAUCGUUUGCUUAAUUUUAGUUCGUUAGAAGAUAAAAGAAAAGAAAAAAUCUAUAUGAUUCUGUAAAAGUUUGGAAACGGAAAAAUUUUGUUUUGAAUAUAAAGAAUUCAAUUUAUGUUUAGAUUUGAUUAAGAAUAUAGUUUUUAUAUUGAUUAGUUUGGAUCCCAUUUUAGUUUAAAAAAUAGGUUAUAUUCUAAUCGAGAUUUGAUUAAGAAUUAUCGAAUUUUGUUUUGAGUGAAAUUCAAUUUAGGAAUCAUGUGAAAGAAAUAAGGACUUGGUUAAUUGGUGGUUUAUUUGGUAGGCAAAGAUUAAGUUUCUCCAGUGAAGAAUAUGAGAAGAGAUAGAAAGAAUAAAAAGAAAAAAAAUUAAAUUGUUCAAAAUAUAUAUAGAGAGACUAAUUUUAACACAUGGAAAACAUAGAAAAAUUAUGUUAAAGAAAUGGAGAAUGGAUGAAAGUAGGAGGAGGAAAAGAGAAUGAAAAAAAAGAGAGAGUUCAAAGACAUAGAAAAAAAAUUAAUUGCUCAAAACAAAAAUAUAGGGACCAAUUGUAUAAUUUAAUUUAAAAUUUUCGUUUGAAUGAUGAUUUAACGUGUCAUGUUAGCUUACCGUUAUACUAUUAACAAAUUAACAUAUGUGACUAAACGUAACAUUUCAAACGUAACUAUAAUAUAACUUGAGACACAAAAUGGGUAUUUUGAUACUUUACCCCUUAAUAUUUGAAUUCAAAUGAUUUUUAUUUAUAUAUAUAUAUAGUUUGCAAGAAAGAGGUUCCGUGCGUUGACCUGGCCCGUUCCCAGUUCGUUCAUUUUUUUUUUUAUCAUGACUUAUUUACCAUUUUGGGGCUUCAGCAAUUCAAAUUAUGCGAUUUAGUUUUUUUACAUUUUUACUCAGAGCUGAAAAUUUUGAUGAUCCCUGUCAUUUUAAAUUUGUUUGGGAUUUUGAAAUUUCGAGCAAAAUAAUUGCUCUUCCAGCCCUCUGUUUCUACAAUAUUUUUAAUUAAACCUUGAUUUUACUCAUUUUCUUCUUAUAUUACUCUAUAUUGAAAUAUUUAUUUCAUUGGUCAUUCUUUUUUUUCCUUUCUUAUGGGACAUUUUAAAUUGGACUAUAAUUAUGUAAUACCCGUAAGUUUAUAUUAUUUUAUAUUAUGUUAGAGCUUUCUUUGUAAAUUGUAAUGGGUGUUUAAUCAUGAGCUUAAAUGGUAAAAGAACUUCAAGAAUGGGAGGAUUUUGGCAUACUUUAUAAGCCUUGUUCAACCCAGAACCAAUAGAAAAAAAAUCUCAUGCUUUUGCUUUCUUUCUUUUGGCUACGAAUGGCGAACCACAUCCAAAUUACAAAUAGAAAAUGUGAGUAAAUAUUUUCUGACUAAAAAAUGUGUAUCUUUUUGUUGUUCUAUAUUUGGAUUUAAAUUAAAAAAAUUAAAUAAUCUAGAAAUUUCUCAUGUUUUAUUAUGACCACUUUGGGUAACCUAUUUAAUUUUAUUUUUUUUCUACAAAUUAUAAGAGAUUAAAGGUGAUUAUAAAGAAUAUAUAUGUAAAAGAGAAGGGAAAUUUUGUCUCGGGUUUAUAUUGUUUAAUAAUAACAUCAAUAGUGAUUACAAAUUUUUGCAUCAAGGGUGAUUCUGGAUUUCAUGUUUUAUAUAACUCCACCUAUAAUCUUUUAAAAUCACUUUCAUAAUUCAUCUUUAAAUGCCUUUGUUUAAAUUAUGUUAUAUUUAAGUAAUUGGAUAAGUUUUGUAAUUUUCUUCUUGAACAGCUAAACUACAAAGGGAACUCGUUUGUUUUAUUCUAUUGGUAAUUUUUAAGAUAAAUUUAAAAUUAUAUAUUAACUUUGAUUUAUCCUUAUAAUUAUUUAUGUAUGCAAUAUAUAAAUAUAAAAUGAUGUUAUAUUAAUAAUUGUGUUAAUAUUUUACAAGAAUUGGAUGAAUUCAAAAUUUUAUAUAUAAAAUCAAACUUCAUGUAUACAAUUGCACAUUAAACUAAAAUUCAUGUAUUAUUUGGUGAUUUAUCCCUAUAAUUUUUAUACAAGUAAUGUAGAUAAAUGAGUUUAAUGUGUUGUAUUUGAUUGACAAAUGGAAAUUAUCAUCAGCCCCACUAACGGGUUAUAAUAGUUAAUUUAAGCUCGUUAACAAGUUAAAAUGGUUAGUACAAGCCUCGUUAACAGGUGAUAAUAGUUAGCACAGACCCUACUGACGAUUUUUAAUAGUUAAUCUAUAGUUUUAUUAUUGGGUUGAACUCUUAUUUAUUCCCUUAAUAUAUAUGUUGGGGGGCGGGGGGGGGGGAUGAAUAAUUGAGUCUCCCUUUAAUCUUUGGAGCAUCUUUGAUGAUGUCGUAUCGGUAAAAUAAUUGGUAUUGCAAUUUGUUGUUUUAUUAUUUUUCUUUCUUUCUUAACUAUCCUCAUUUAUAUAGGUUAAUAGUACAACGAUGCUUUUACCAAGUUAGGGUUAUACUUAAAAAAUUUAAUUAUCGUAUAUAUCCUUUAAUAAAUUCAAAUUUAGGUUAAUUUUUAGGUUAAAUUAAAUAAUUCAUUAUUAAAUUUUUAUAAAUUUUUAUUUUGAGCAUUGAAAAUAAAUUUUUUUCAUUUCAAACUCUGUGAUAAAAAAAAUAUUUUCAUUUUAGGCAUUUAUGCUAAAACUAUUUUAUUUUGAUUAUCUAUCGUUAAUUCAAUAUUAUUGUACACUUAUUUUAAAAGGAAUGAAUCCAAUUACAAAUAUUUUUCUUUACAAUGUCGUAUUUGACUUUUUAAGAUAGGAAUCACUUGGGAUAUAUAUGUAUAUAGGUACCUAAAUUCACAUCUACACGCACAAAAAAAAAAUGAUGAUAUCUUGAAUUGAUUACUGAUAAUCAAGACCAGGGGGAGCCAAAAUAAAAUGUAAAAUCCCAUAGGUAAAUUAGUAGUAAAUGCUAUUUUAAACAGUUUUUAAGGAAAAAACACGAGAUGUGCUUGAAAUAAUUUCAUACCAACAUAUUCUUUUAAGUAAGGUGGAACUUUUUGGGCGAAGUGGUAAAAUGCCUAGAUUUUUCCCUAAUGGACCUAGGUUCAAAUCUCAUCCUGGUUUUAUUUUUAAAGCAUGUUUCAAGCUGCUUCUUCUUCUUCUUCUUUUUAAUUUUAAUUAAUAGUUUUAAUUAAUAAACAUGUUAUUUUAAAUUUUUAGUUAACAAACAUAUUUUUAAGAUUAUUUUAUUUUAUUUUUUUAAUUCAUGUUUUCAAUUAAUAAAUUCUUUAUUUGUAGAGACAAAAUAAUAAUUUGUACUUUUAUUUAAAGCAUGUUGUUUCGAACUCUCUUUUUUUAAUUUUAAUUAAUAUACAUAUUAUUUUUAAGUUUUUAAUUCAUAUUUUUAAUUAAUAAUUUCUUUAUUUAUAUAGACAAAAUAAAUAGUAAUUCUAUAAUAAAAAUAUAUAACUAUAUAUUAUUAUGGUAGAUAUAUUUUAUUUUUAAAAAAUCAACUAAUUUUUUUAUAUAUUUUUCUUUAUAUAUAUUUUUAUGUGAAAUAUUUAUUUUUCAUCCAUCUUAGGUUAUGCUAAUUUUUAGUAUUAUAUACUUUUGUAAGUGUAUUUGAUAAUUUAUUGAAUAAUUCACAUAUAAAAAUAUGAUAUUUAAAAUAAUUAUUUAAUUUUUCAAUUUUUACUAAUCUACGUCAAUUACUAUUUGACAUAUCACUAUCCCAAGUUGCUUUUUCCCACAUCCUCUUUUCCUCGGUCCCCAUUUCUUUUCGUUACAUCUUUCUUAUUUUCUCUCUCCUCGCCUAUCCUUGCCAUAUGCCUUCCCCUCCAACCUCACCCCCCUGUGUUUCUUGCUUCCCCUCCUCUUUCUUCCUUCCCCUCUUGCUUUCCCCCGCCCCGCUUGCCCCUGCUUUUUUUCUUCUACUCGGGCUGCGUCGUUGAGUCUUCCUUCCGUCGCAUCAUUGUUACUAAUGCCGGAGGCUUUGUGUUUGAGUGCGCUGAACACAUUAUUCUCUUAUUUAUAUUGAGCGAUUAUGGUUAGUUCAAGUAUUGUCAAUAAAAUAUGAUCAAAAUCUAUAAUAAAGUUAUUAAAAAUUAAUCGUUUUGACUUGGGAGGACUGAGGAAAGACUUAGCAUGUUAAGAUUAGACUAAAUAAACUAAAUUAUUAAAAAAAAUGUGUUUGAUAUACACUACUUUCUAAAAAUGUAUUUGACCUCAGUCUAUUUCUAGAUAAUAUUUAAAACGAUGAUUUUUUAUAUAUAUUUUUUUAAAUUGACAUUUAUUAGUAAUUUUGCCAAUCCCAUCUGUAAUUAUGAACAGUGAUGAAAUCUUGAAAUUCAGUUAGUCUUUUCAAACAGACAAUCCAAAGUGUCCGAAAAUCUAGCCUAAACAAUUGUGUUUAAUCUGAUCUAGCAGAUUGUUUAUAUAUAUAUAUAUAUAUAUAUAUAUAUAUAUAUAUAUUCAUGUUUUCUUUUAAAAUUAUCUAGUCAGGGUCAUAUUUUACUCAGUUACUCAAACUUGAUGGUGGAAUUAACGAUUUGGUUAGAUUUAGUUUUUUUUAUUAUUUAAUUUUGGUUAAUUUGUAGUAUUUUCAUUUCAGAAAAAGGCAUUUUUCUUUAAAUUUUCAAAAAAACAAGUUUAUUUUUACAUUAUAAAUUUAAUAAAUUCAAAUAAUUAUAAAUUUUCAUUUUAUAAAUCGAAAAUUAAAUAAAAAAUUAUAUUAUUCAACAUUAAUAAAAAUUAAAUUGUAAACAAAUUAAACAUAUGAUCCAAAAUUUAUCGAUUAAAUUGAAUGAAGCCCUAGGUCAAAAAAUUUUGAGAUUCUCAUUUUUUCAUUGGAAUAACCAAUUUUAUUAUUUAAAAAUAUUUUUACAUCAAUAUAUCAAUUUUUAUAAUGAAAUUUAAAUAAAAAAUAUUAUUUAAGAGAAGUGGAUUUGGCUCUAAAAAUGUCAAAGUGCAGCUAAAGAUGGGAGAAAUCAAAAGUUGAAAAAGUGAUGAAGGCGGUCCCUACCGGAGACAACUGUAACAUCAAUGUUCCAAAAGCACAUUCAGCGCCAUCUUCAUGCAAUUAUCAUCGCCUGCAAUCACGCUUUGCCCUCAAUAAUCUCUUCCCUUUUCAUCAAAUCAUUAAUAUAUGUCAAACUAAGAUUGACCAAGUCAUUUAUUAAAAGCUAUACUACAUCGUUUUCGAGUUUGCCCAUGGUAAAAGAUCAAAUCAUAACCCUACAUAUCUUAUAAAAGAUACACGAAUCAUAUGAUUGCAACUACAUGUUUUUUGAACCGUAAUUGAAUAAAUAUAAAAGCGUGUGUGACAGAAAAACGAAGUAUAUGAUUUAGGUUUUCCCCAGUCAACACUUGAACAAAUUACAACUCUUGAUGUAUUUAAUAUGAUGAAACUAACACUUCUUCUGUAAAUCUUUCAAAAACCUUUAACUUUAUACCUGAUGAAUCCAUUGUUGUUUUUGUUGAUUCUCCUUGUAUGCAAUCGCAACCCUCGCUUAUCUGCUCUAAAUGAUGAAGCUCUUGCUCUUUUAUCCUUCAAACAAUCCCUCGAAAAUGACACCGGUAGCUAUCUCAUCAACUGAACUCAUCUGAUCCGAAUCCAUGUUCAUGGCAUGGAGUUUCAUGUAGAAAUCAGAAAGUUCAUGCUCUUAUCGUUCCCAACAUCGGACUAUCUGGUUACCUGUCUCCUGCACUCGCAAACCUCUCCUCGAUUCGUCAUGUUAACCUCGAGAACAACUCAUUUCGCGGAACGUUACCUACCGAGCUCUUUGGUGCAACUAGGCUGAAGAGCUUGGUAGUUUCAGGUAAUUCCUUAUACGGACCGCUUCCGUCCCAAGUCGGGAACCUUAAGAACCUACAAACCUUUGAUGUUUCACGGAAUUUAUUCAAUGGCUCGUACCUUCGUCCAUAGUUCAAUGCAAGAAAUUAACUACACUUGUUCUCAGUCAAAAUAUUUCAACGGCUCACUCCCCGAGGGAUUUGGAAACAGUUUGGUUAGCCUUCAGAAGCUCAAUCUUUCUUACAACAGAUUCGACGGUUCAAUCCCUGGUGACAUUGGAAACUUGUCGAAUUUGCACGGUACUCUCGAUCUGUCUCACAAUUUCUUCACUGGUGAGAUUCCAGCUAGCCUAGGAAGCCUCCCUGAGGAAGUGUAUAUCGAUCUCAGUUACAAUAAUCUUACCGGCCCAAUACCGCAGAAUGGUGCUUUAGGAAAUGCAGGGCCAACAGCUUUCAUAGGCAACCCUUCGCUUUGUGGAUUACCAUUGAAAAUUCCGUGUCAUUCAUCCAAUAAGCCAAUUCCAAUUAAGCCAU
rnacentral:lncRNA from 1 species